UACAGAGGGUGCGAGCGUUGUCCGGAAUCACUGGGCGUAAAGGGCGCGUAGGUGGCGGGCCAAGUCAGUGGUGAAAGCUCGAUGCUCAACAUCGAGUCGGCCACUGAUACUGGUUUGCUUGAGCACUGUAGAGGCAGAUGGAAUUCCGGGUGUAGCGGUGGAAUGCGUAGAGAUCCGGAAGAACACCGGUGGCGAAGGCGGCGUCCUGGACCAACACUGACACUGAUGAGCGAAAGCCAGGGGAGCAAACGGG
rnacentral:rRNA from 1 species